rnacentral:rRNA from 1 species
UGGAUGGGCUAGGGGCCCCACAAGGUUACUGACCCCAACCAAACUCCGAAUGCCAUGACUCCAGAGUGCGGCAGUGAGACCUCGGGGGAUGAGCUUCGAUGGUCGAAAGGGAAACAGCCCAGAUCACCAGCUAAGGCCCCUAAUUCUGUACUAAGUGGUAAACGAUGUGGGAUUGCACAAACAGCCAGGAGGUUGGCUUAGAAGCAGCCACCCUUUAAAGAGUGCGUAAUAGCUCACUGGUCGAGUGGUCCUGCGCGGACAAUGUAACGGGUCUCAAGUACAGAGCCGAAGCUGUGAAUUCCUACCUAGUAGGAGUGGUAGCGGAGCGUCGAUCUCGCGGCGAAGCGCCGGUGUGAACCGUCGUGGAGCAUGGUCGAGUGCGAAUGUAGGUAUGAGUAGCGAGAGAGGGGUGAGAAACCCCUCCGCCGGAAGUCCAAGGGUUCCUGGGUUAGGCUUAUCCGCCCAGGGUUAGUCGGGUGCUAAGGCGAGGCCGAAAGGCGUAGUCGAUGCACAACUGGUUAAUAUUCCAGUACCACCACAUUAUGCGCCCAUGUCAAGGCGAUUUUGGUGAGGGGAUGCCUCAGGCCAUUGUGGCCAGAGGACGAACCGAUCCAGGUCGUUGAGGCAAGCAAUGCGGGGACGCAGGAAGGUAAGUGAUCCCAGGCGAUGGUAGUCCUGGGGUAAGCGUGUAGGGAGAGGUCCAGGUAAGUCCGGCCCUCAUCAAUCCUGAGACGCGACGCCGAGCCGAAUCAGGCGAAGUCACCGAUCCUAUGCUGCCAAGAAAAUCCGCUAGUUAGCACGUGUGGUGCCCGUACCCCAAACCAACACAGGUGGACAGGUAGAGAAUACCAAGGCGAUUGGGAGAACUAUGGUUAAGGAACUCGGCAAAUUACAUCCGUAACUUUGGGAUAAGGAUGACCCUAGUAAAGUAAUGGACUUCGCGUCCGGAGCUUGAUUGGGUGGCACAAACCAGGGGAAAGCGACUGUUUACUAAAAACACAGCAGCGUGCGAAGUCGUAAGACGCUGUAUACGCUGUGACGCCUGCCCGGUGCUGGAAGGUUACGGGGAGGGGUUAGCCGUAAGGCGAAGCUCUGAACCUAAGCCCCAGUAAACGGCGGCCGUAACUAUAACGGUCCUAAGGUAGCGAAAUUCCUUGUCGGGUAAGUUCCGACCUGCACGAAUGGCGUAACGACUUCCCUACUGUCUCAACCAUAGACCCAGCGAAAUUGAAGUACGAGUAAAGAUGCUCGUUAGCUGCAGAAGGACGGAAAGACCCCGUGCACCUUUACUACAGUCUGGUAUUGGUUUUUGGUAUAGGUUGUGUAGGAUAGGUGGGAGACUUGGAAGCGAGGGCGCUAGCUCUCGUGGAGUCAACCUUGAAAUACCACCCUUUCUAUGCUGGGAAUCUAACCUAGAUCCGUUAUCCGGAUCAGGUACAGUGCCAGAUGGGUAGUUUGACUGGGGCGGUCGCCUCCCAAAAGGUAACGGAGGCGCCCAAAGGUUCCCUCAGCCUGGUCGGCCAUCAGGCGUUGAGUGCAAUGACACAAGGGAGCUUGACUGCGAGACGUACAUGUCGAGCAGGUGCGAAAGCAGGGCAUAGUGAUCCGGCGGUUGCGUGUGGAAGCGCCGUCGCUCAACGGAUAAAAGGUACCCCGGGGAUAACAGGCUCAUCUUCCCCAAGAGUCCAUAUCGACGGGAAGGUUUGGCACCUCGAUGUCGGCUCAUCGCAUCCUGGGGCUGAAGCAGGUCCCAAGGGUUGGGCUGUUCGCCCAUUAAAGCGGUACGCGAGCUGGGUUUAGAACGUCGUGAGACAGUUCGGUCCCUAUCCUCUGCAGCCGGAAGAGAUUUGAGGAAAGCUAUCCCUAGUACGAGAGGACCGGGAUGGACGUAGCUCUCGUGUGCCAGUUGUUCCGCCAGGAGCAUGGCUGGUUGGCGACCUACGGGAGGGAUAACCGCUGAAAGCAUCUAAGCGGGAAGCCUUUUCCAAGAUGAGAUCUCUCACCGGGUUAACCGGGUAAGGCCCGUGGCAGAACACCACGUUGAUAGGCCGGAAGUGUACGCACAGCAAUGUGUUCAGCUGACCGGUACUAAUCGGCCGAGGGCUUGGUUUU